GUUUGGAAGAUUCUGGUAUUGGAACUGGGAUUUGAGAUGAAUAUUUGCAAAACGGUUCAAACAAAGGACAACACACCUGUUCAAAUACAGCCAUCAGAUAAGCCACACAGAAUGAUGAAAGGAUCGUAGUUGCUGCCUUUUAUCUCAUGUGCUUUGGAAAAACUGGAAAUUGUUGCCUUACAAAGACUUCAGUUUGUACAAAAAAGAUCUUUUUCUUAUUUCCUGUUUGCCAUAAACAGGAAAUUCUCAAAUCUUGAAACACUACAACUUUUUGGCGUCAGAGCUAGACAAUGAUGUUGCAAAUUAUCAAUUGGAAUUUGUCCAAAA